UGGAAAUAGAACCUGCCUGUUUACUUUCAUUUUCCACAGGAACACACAGAAGAGAAGUCAAAAUCUGGUCCGAGGUUCAGAGAGCUGAACCAGGUUCAUUGGCCAGUCCGGAGGCCAGAAUUUCAGGGUCUUUACAUGACCAGAAGACGCAGAACGGCAGCCAGAUCAGGGCAGGAGUCCGGACUGCCUCAAAGCAGGCUGCAGCCGGCUCCCCUCGACGACUCUGCUUCCUCCCUUGCUCGCUCGGCCAGGAGCCGCACCGAGCUGCGCUCUGCCCCGCUCACCGGGCUUGGGGACCCGGCCUCCUCGCCUGACUGCUCCAGCUGUUCGGGUGGGGCCUGUCUCCGAGAUUCCCCAAGGGAAGCGUGAAGAAGCCGGUCAGAGAGCUUGGAGCCCGGCCCCAGUUAGCCACCAUUCCCCUCUCCUCCUCCUCCUCGUUGCUCUGCUGGGAGGAAGCUGGCUCUCAUAAACGGUCUGUGGCCUUCCUUUCCUGCUGGACAACGAACCGUACUGGCAGUGACGGUGCGAUGGGCUGGCUUGUUUCUCAGUGGCCCCUUUGCCUCGGGGCCCAGAGGGCUGCAGGCUCGGAGCCACCUUAGAAGUCUUGGAGCUCCGAUGCAACGCGCGUCUCCGGCGGCCCAGCUCAGCCAAGCUGGCUCGGGGCUGCUGACCAGCAAAGCGAAACGAAGCAAAGCCGCUUCAGCGAGGCCCGAAGAAAAGAGUCCAGAAUGCAAACAGCCACAGCACACAAAUAAUGACGAGACGGCAAAGCAGAAGUCCAAACAUCAAGGGCCGCCUAUCAGCCCCGACCCAUGCAAGGCCCACCGCUGCGUCACCCGCGGACGACCAUCCGGCCUCCAGCAGAAGGCAGCUCCCUAGGUUGGGCGGCAGCCUGUCCCCCAUCCCCAGAGCCCGCUGCUUCUGGCCCUGCCUCCCCGAAUGACCGCAAAUAGCUGUAGCCCACCCUCCACCGCAUGGCGCUUCAGCAAUCUGAAGAUCGUUAUCGGAUCUCCCCUCAGUCCUCUCUUCUAUGGGCGAAUCAUAACUGUGAUCACGGAACGCCGCCGUUCCUCAGAGGGCUCGGUCUCCAGACAGCGCACGCUCCUGGUAGCCCUCCUCGAAAUCCACCCCAAUUUGUUACUGCCCUUGUUGAACCGAGGAACCUGGUAUCCUGAAGAGCUGUGGCCCAGGAAGAGCAAAGGGGAGCAGUGGCUCUCUGCGAUCGGGACUCACCACUCCUGCCAAUGCACCCCAAGAUGGCAUUUGCCUUUUCAGCAGCUGCAGCACACUGUUGGCUCAUGACUAAUUUGGGUUUCACAAGAAUACCCAGAUCGCCUUCACCUGUGCUACUGCCAGGCCUGGUCUCCCCCCUCCUGUGCUUGAGGGGAGAUCACAGAGGUUAAGUCAUUCUUCCUUCAUGGAAAGUCUGAGCGAUAUGAUUACAUACGGUCAAAUUUUAAUUUUUUAAGACUUGAUGUUGUGGGAUAUUUAAUUGAUCUAUAUUGUUGUUAUCAUUUCCUUUGGCUUUUUUUUUUUUGCUUUGAAGAGAAGAGAAGAGAAGAGAAGAGAAGAGAA